AACGGAGGCGAAGGCUUUGACGGUCCUUUGCCACGCAGUAAAGUUCUUCCGGGCUCUUCCGCAUGUUGGCUGCAGAGCUGGGCGGGUCAGGUGGUCUGCAGGUGCUUGUGAGGGGUCACUCAGAAGCAGAGGGAGGGGCCGCACUGAGCCUCCCCAAUCUCAGGGUCCUGAGCUACCAGACCUGCCAUGCUGACUCCUUGGUCUCCCUGUGUCUUGCAGAACAUGCCACAUCCCAGAGUGCCACCAGAGAAAGCGAGAGCCCGUCGUGGGCUUUGGAAAACCCUCCAGAACUUCGAGGCCCAGGGAGCUGGGCAGGGAGGUGCUCACUCCGGUCAGAAGCAGCCCGGGAGGUCUCAUCCCCUCUUCUCGGACACUUCCCCAGUUGACACCUGAAGCCUAGGUGACUGUGCCCACCUUCAGGCUCACUCCUCUGACCUCCCGGCACAGCGGAUCAGAAAAGGCACGUUCCAGAGGGCAGGGGGCAUGGCUGGACAGUCUCCAGGAAGUGCCCAGCAGCCGCAGGAGGGGACAGCAGCAUCAGGGGACAAUGGGCUCUGCUACCUGCCAGGCGUUGGCUCCUGUAGUUCCGCGAUAGGUCCCUCUAAGGGCAGCAGACCUCCUGGAAGAAGUUUGGAGAAAUUUCCUUGUGAAGAAGCAGGCAGUGGCAUCUGAUAAAAGUAUGUGCAUUUUAUAGGGGUCGAUACCGGUUCUCGGGGCAGCAUGGGGGGUGCCAGGUGUCCUCCGUGUGGCCAUGAGUCAGGUCCUUGCCAGAGGAGACCAUGGAUAGACCGCAGGGCUCUUCUCCAAACACCCGUGGGCUCCCGGCAAAACGCUGCAGCCUGGGAAAUUUGCUGGGCACACCCUUCCCGACUCCUUUCCCUGCGGUUGCCUGACAGAACAUUCCGUCACCACAAAGCAAAGUUUGCACAGGCCCUGCCCUCCCUCUGGGGGAACCCAGCCGACGAUGGGACGGUGGAAUGCCACCUGCCCGCCCAGACCCCAAGCCAUCCCACAUGCCAGGCCCAGCCCGGAGCCUCCAGGGGACAUGGGAGCCCAAGUUCCCAGGC